rnacentral:rRNA from 1 species
GCUGGCGGCGUGCCUAACACAUGCAAGUCGAACGGGGCCCUACCAGUGGCAACACUGGAAAAGGUCUAGUGGCGAACGGGUGAGUAACACGUGAGGAACCUACCCCGAUCUCAGGAAUAACAGUGGGAAACCACUGCUAAUACCGGAUGUCUUCCCCGAGCCUCCUGGCUUGGCGAAGAAAGGGUUACCGGAUCGGGACGGCCUCGCGGCCUAUCAGCUAGUUGGCGGGGUAACGGCCCACCAAGGCGUCGACGGGUAGCUGGUCUGAGAGGAUGAUCAGCCACACUGGGACUGAGACACGGCCCAGACUCCUACGGGAGGCAGCAGUGGGGAAUCUUGCGCAAUGGGCGAAAGCCUGACGCAGCAACGCCGCGUGGGGGAUGAAUGCCCUCGGGUUGUAAACCCCUUUCAGCAGGAACGAAAUUGACGGUACCUGCAGAAGAAGGCCCGGCCAACUACGUGCCAGCAG